GCAAGUCGAACGGCGGCACGGGUGCUUGCACCUGGUGGCGAGUGGCGAACGGGUGAGUAAUACAUCGGAACGUACAUUAUCGUGGGGGAUAACGCACAGAAAGCUGCGCUAAUACCGCAUACGCCCUGAGUGGGAACGAGGGGGAUCGAAGGACCUCGCGCGAUUAGAGCGGCCGAUGCCUGAUUAGCUUGUUGGUGAAGUAAAAGCCCACCAAGGCGACGAUCAGUAGCUGGUCUGAGAGGACGAUC
rnacentral:rRNA from 1 species